AGAGCGAACGCUGGCGGCAGGCCUAACACAUGCAAGUCGAGCGCCCGUAGCAAUACGGGAGCGGCAGACGGGAUAGUAACACGUGGGAACGCGCCCUUCGGUUCGGAAUAACUCAGGGAAACUUGAGCUAAUACCGGAUACGCCCUUACGGGGAAAGAUUUAUUGCCGAAGGAACGGCCCGCGUCCGAUUAGCUAGUUGGUGAGGUAAUGGCUCACCAAGGCGACGAUCGGUAGCUGGUCUGAGAGGAUGACCAGCAUCACUGGGACUGAGACACGGCCCAGACUCCUACGGGAGGCAGCAGUGGGGAAUAUUGGACAAUGGGCGCAAGCCUGAUCCAGCCAUGCCGCGUGGAUGAUGAAGGCCUUAGGGUUGUAAAGUCCGUUUUAACGGGGAAGAUAAUGACGGUACCCGUAGAAUAAGCCCCGGCUAACUUCGUGCCAGCAGCCGC
rnacentral:rRNA from 1 species